UACAUAGGUCCCAAGCGUUAUCCGGAAUUACUGGGCGUAAAGCGUCUGCAGGUUGAAAAGUGUGUGAGAUGUGAAAGACCGGGGCUCAACCCCGUGUUUGUAUCUCAAACUGCUUUUCUAGAGUGAGCAAGAGGUAUGCGGAAUUUAUGGAGUAGGAGUGCAAUCCGUUGACACCAUAAAGAACACCAAAAGCGAAGGCAGCAUACUGGGGCUCUACUGACACUCAGAGACGAAAGCGUGGGGAGCGAAAGGG
rnacentral:rRNA from 1 species